UAACGCGAAGAACCUUACCAGGUCUUGACAUCCUCUGACAACCCUAGAGAUAGGGCUUCCCCUUCGGGGGCAGAGUGACAGGUGGUGCAUGGUUGUCGUCAGCUCGUGUCGUGAGAUGUUGGGUUAAGUCCCGCAACGAGCGCAACCCUUGAUCUUAGUUGCCAGCAUUCAGUUGGGCACUCUAAGGUGACUGCCGGUGACAAACCGGAGGAAGGUGGGGAUGACGUCAAAUCAUCAUGCCCCUUAUGACCUGGGCUACACACGUGCUACAAUGGGCAGAACAAAGGGCAGCGAAGCCGCGAGGCUAAGCCAAUCCCACAAAUCUGUUCUCAGUUCGGAUCGCAGUCUGCAACUCGACUGCGUGAAGCUGGAAUCGCUAGUAAUCGCGGAUCAGCAUGCCGCGGUGAAUACGUUCCCGGGCCUUGUACACACCGA
rnacentral:rRNA from 1 species